rnacentral:snoRNA from 1 species
CUUCCCAUUUAUUUACUGCCAUGCAGCCUCAGUGCUAUGAGCAGUUAUACGCGUGGGAUAGAGUAUGAGGCCAUUGUAAGUUUGUGGUGAAACAACUGAUGUUUCACUGUUUAUUGCUAGGGCUGGACAUCU